AUGAUUAGCCUCUUCUGGAACUGUUGGGGAGUGGGGAAGAGGGGUAUGGCAACUUGCUUAUCUGACCUGAUUAGAGACUAUGGUUUAGAUUUUGAAACAAUGAAGAAGGAUUUUUCCUCUAAAUUCUUGAGGAAAAUUGAUCCAGGACAGUAUUUUGAUUGGAGGUGGAUACCUUCAAUGGGCACUGGGGGGAUUUUAUGUGGUACUAAGGAAGAUACUUUUGAUGUUAGAUCCUGUGAGACAGGGAAAUAUAUCAUGAAACUUGAGCUGUGGGAUAAGAGUAAAAAACUAUUAUAUUGUAUUCUGGUAGUAUAUGGAUCUGCUCAUGAAGAGUAUAAGAUGGAAUUUUUGACUGAGUUGUCUGACAUGUGUAACAAUAUUACUUGCCCUUACAUUGUGGGGGAGAUUUUAAUAUCCUUAGAUAUGCUAAGGAGAAAAAUAAGAAGACUAGGACAAGUCAUGCUACUGAUCUCUUUAACUCCAUCAUUAAUACUUUCUGUCUCAGGGAAGUUGACAUGA
rnacentral:rRNA from 1 species